UGGGAACCUUCCCUAUGGUUCGGAAUAGCCCAGGGAAACUUGGGGUAAUACCGAAUAAGCCCUUCGGGGGAAAGAUUUAUCGCCAUUGGAUGGGCCCGCGUCGGAUUAGCUAGUUGGUGGGUAACGGCCCACCAAGGCGACGAUCCGUAGCUGGUCUGAGAGGAUGAUUAGCCACACUGGGACUGAGACACGGCCCAGACUCCUACGGGAGGCGG
rnacentral:rRNA from 1 species